rnacentral:misc_RNA from 1 species
UCUCGAACUCUUUAGUUUAGAGGAAAAGGUAGGAAAGAGAAGAAGAUAAAACAGACGAACCGGAGAUUUUUAAUCUUCGAUCGCCAGUGAUUUUGGGUGCAUCGACCUGGAUCUACCCGAAGGACACAGCCGUGUAAAUAACGAUAAAUACCUAUUGGAGACGUUUUGGGUUUAAACAUGUGUGGACGGAACGGAAACUGUUGAAAAAAAAAGUGCAAAUUACAACCUCGCAUUAUCGUCGCUUACAUGGGCCAAGCGGCAAUAAUAAUUCAAUUUGUUAUCUUUCGUAGAGCUCCCUCAUGAUUAUUCCACUGCCAAUAUCGGUUUUAUCGAUACGUGGAGAUCGAAGCGUGGGGUUGAUACGCCACGGGAGUAAAGAAAUUCCCGUGACUAAUGGAAGAACACACGCAUUACUUCGUUCCAUGGGGUCCAGGGGAGGACCUGGCCGUGGCAUCUGUUCUUCAGUUACGAAGAACUUUGUUAAACUUCUUUUUUCCCCAGCUUUCUCUCCCUUUCUCCGUUAAUACAACACUCAUGGAGUGUCGGAGCUUUGGGAAAUUAUAGAUAAUCUAGAGCGUUCUCCUCUCUUUUUUUGGUAAUAGGACACGCCGUAGGAAAUUCGAUACAUCGUGGUUAGCGUGCAUGAAGAUAAAUGUGUCAAACUGAUAAAUAAUGCAUUGGAAUAUUUGAGAAAUAAGAAGUAUGAGAGUAUACGGUAGUGAGAUCGAUUGGGAUUAGGUUUUGAGGAUGUUUUGUCCCAAAAUGAGCAUCCCAGUUCGUUUUUAUGUAAUUUUUCGUAGGAAUUUGACAGAUUUAUGAAUAAUUUCAAUGAUUUUUUGAAAAUACAUAUAUAAAAGCUGUUUACAUUUUAUAUAUAUACGUAUAUUAUAAUUUCACAUUUAACAUAUUUUAUAUGCAUAAGCAUAUUCAGUAUAAUUAUGUAAAUCUAUUACAUUUAGCCAGAUGCUUCCUAACUAACCAGUUUUCCUUUCAAAUUUUUUCAAACUUGUUACUAGUUAUAACCAGUGUUACUGAAUUCUAAUUACAUCGGACCUAGUUGCAAUACAAAAUGAAUUUAAAUUAGGACACCAAUUUAGUCGAAGCAUUAACAUUCACGAAGUGAAUGCUAGCUUUUGUUACGUUCCAGUAUUUCGUCCAUAACUUUCCUUUUCUUUCGUUCGCCUCGUGCAAGCAAAAUACCCUUAUGUGAAGCGAAAUCGACAGCAUCUGUAUAAAUCUCGUACAGCUUAUGAGGUGAACGAAAAACGUCUUUUCUCUUUCUCUUUCUAUUCCUG